rnacentral:rRNA from 1 species
UACGAAGGGGGCUAGCGUUGCUCGGAAUCACUGGGCGUAAAGGGUGCGUAGGCGGGUCUUUAAGUUCAGGGGUGAAAUCCUGGAGCUCAACUCCAGAACUGCCUUUGAUACUGAGGAUCUUGAGUUCGGGAGAGGUGAGUGGAACUGCGAGUGUAGAGGUGAAAUUCGUAGAUAUUCGCAAGAACACCAGUGGCGAAGGCGGCUCACUGGCCCGAUACUGACGCUGAGGCACGAAAGCGUGGGGAGCAAACAGGG